AUAACAAAUAAUAUACCAAAAAAUCCCUCAUUUACCGAAAGCAAACUCAACCUACUUCACCAGCUAAACAUAUGAUAGCUGUUCUAUACUUAAACUCGUUCAUUUUACUUCACAGUACUAGUAAAUUUUGCAAACACAAAAACAAUACAAGAAAAACGAUCUGUCUAAAUGCAAAUCUGUAAAUAUUUUCAUGAUGAAAAAUAACGAACGAAACAUUUUAGAAUUGCUUCAAACAAUGAAUUAACAAACUGGUAUAGAAUCUUCCAAUUGAACAGUUACCAUAACAUUGUUAUCUUUACUCUAACGAUUUUUGGGUCAACAUGAAAAUAAAUAUACGUCAAAUCACAAACAUUUAACAUUAUAAACAACAAUCAAAAUAAUCAUUUAUUUAGAUUAAUUGGACUACAAUAAGUUGUUUUCAAUCUGUUAAAAGAAAUAUAAAAACGAAAGCAGUUUGACCGUAUUUUGAGGACCGCAUGGUCCAAACAAUCCUUACAGACUGGGGCAUACUCAAAGUAAUGGGUUAGAACUAUUAAGUUUACAAAGAAGCAUAAGAUAAUGUAUCAUGUGAGUAGAAACACGAUGGCGUCAUAGUAGACAUGAAAUAACCGCAAACAUAUUUACAAGUAUAUUUGCCAAAUGAAAACAUCUAUAUCAUUGUUUGUAUGAUAAUACUCUUCCUCAAACUCCUUUAAUAAUGUUAUCGAUUAAUAAAGAUUGAAAGAAAUGUUAUGCAGUGGGCUAAGGUUUGAUGACUUUUUAAUUUCCAGUGACAACGUUAACUUUUACAUGCUUAUUGAGGAUGUGAUAUAGUAAGUAAGUUAGUAAGUAAUUAGUGUAUUAUAGCGACUUGUGCAUAUGUGCAUACUUACAGAGUUUGUUAAUAUAGUAC
rnacentral:lncRNA from 1 species